rnacentral:lncRNA from 1 species
CAGAAAGAAGCGGAAGGGAAGGCAGGAAUCUGACUUGCUGCAAGUUUCAGAAAAGGCUGAAACUGGUCUAUUGGAAUAAGCAGAGGACCAGGAAACAGGAGCACCUGUGUUGCAUAGCUUUGGGCAGGUGUGAAGAAACGGCGGCUGCGUGCUGUACCAAGGCUGAGAGCUCCUGAAGCUUCUGCUCUCCCUUUUUGCUCCACGUGGAUGCGGUAUCUGGCAGGGUGACAGCCCAGUCCCUCCCUGCCCGUGCUCCAUGUGUUGCCACUUUGCUGGGCUGCGUCCCACACCAACAUAACGUUCCUCUUGUCUGCGUGCUGAAUGUGCUAAGGCAUGCCAGAAGUAGGGCAUCAGCCAAGCGCUGAUACAGAAAGGAUGUACAGUGGGUAAAAGGUCCUAUGGUUUGGCCUUGGUUCUCUCUCUCUUUAUUUUUUUCUGGGUAGCUCUUCGUGGUUACGUGUUCUGGGCCAUGUUUGGAUUUUGCUAAGUCUGAUUGACACAACUACUUCUUCAAUCACCGUGGACAGCUUACUACAGGCUGAUGUGCCUGUGGUCAAGAACAAAAGGGACGAGGAGAAAAACAUUUUCUUCGUAGUCGGGAAAGCUGCUGUAGAUUCGGCAUCGCGCUUUAACUCGUGUUGUAUCAAAGAAAUACAACAAUAGCAGAAAUUAUUAUUUAUAGGAAGGUCUGUGAAUUCAGGAUGUGAUAUUAUGAGUCACCCGACGGCAAACAUGUUUGCACUCCGACUGCUAUGACUCAUGCUGGCAUUUGUCUUCAGCGUGGCAAUUGCUGGAGCCCUCUGCUUGGUGCACAAUGAAUGAAAGGGCUGAGGUCCCGCUGCAGACGUACUAUGUGCAGCUACACUGCUGAAUCGCAGACUCAGCUGGAGAGCAUUUCCUGUAACACAGACACACGCGUGCACACGCACACAUACACACACACACACACACACACACACUCAACCGUAACACUUCAGGUUUACAUACUAGAUUCAUAGAAAGGAAAUGCAUAAUUACAGUGCUGGCUUAUGCACCACAUAAAGCAGCCCACAUCAAAAGGUGUUCGCCAUUAAUGUUUCAACAGGUAAUCUCUGGAUUUAUUGCCAAGCGGUGUUCCUGUUACUUAGCGUUUGGUGUUGAAAUCUCUGCUGUGAGCCAGUGUAGUCAUCUUAAUCCUGCAAAAAAAAAAAAAAAAAGAAAGUUUG